AUACCGGCUCUAUUAUGGACAUUAAGAGCCACACGAGAUAUAUAUAUACAUAAUAU
rfam:Acyrthosiphon pisum strain LSR1 Contig25810, whole genome shotgun sequence.